rnacentral:rRNA from 1 species
UACGUAGGGGGCAAGCGUUGUCCGGAUUUAUUGGGCGUAAAGAGCGUGUAGGCGGCUUUGCAAGUCCGUUGUGAAAACUCGAGGCUCAACCUCGAGACGCCGGUGGAAACUGCAAAGCUAGAGUCCGGAAGAGGAGAGUGGAAUUCCUGGUGUAGCGGUGAAAUGCGCAGAUAUCAGGAAGAACACCCGUGGCGAAAGCAGCUCUCUGGGACGGUACUGACGCUGAGACGCGAAAGCGUGGGGAGCGAACAGG